rnacentral:piRNA from 1 species
UAAAUUCACAGCAUGUGUUUACUAAAAUGA